UACCUGGUUGAUCCUGCCAGUAGUCAUGUGUUUGUCUCAAAGAUUGAGCCAUGCAUGUCUCAGUUCAGGCCCUAGUACGGUGAAACCGCGAAUGGCUCAUUGAACCGGCUAUGGUUUACUGGAUCGUACCCGUUAGGUGGGUGACUGUAAUGACUUCAGGGCUGAUACAUGCCUCGAUGCCCUGACUCCGUUAGCCUGCUGCUGCUUGCCUGUGUGUAGGUGGUGGCAGGCAGGCAGGGUGUGGAUGCACUUGUUAGGUCAGAAGCCAACCAACUGUUAGGACGUUGCGUGUGCAGUCCACUGCUGUAGGCGUGCGUGCGGGUGUUGAGGGGAGACCGCUUCUGGUGACUCUGGAUGAUUGUUGCAGGUCGCAGUCGGCCUUGAGUCGGCGAUGGGUCCUUCAAAUGUCUGCCCUAUCAACUGUCGACGGUAGGUGACCUGCCUACCAUGGUGAUAACGGGUAACGGGGAAUCAGGGUUCGAUUCCGGAGAGGGAGCCUGAGAAACGGCUGCCACUUUCGGGGGAGGCAGCAGGCGCGCAAAUUACCCAUUCCCGGCACGGGGAGGUGGUGACGAAAAGUACCGGUG
rfam:Taenia asiatica genome assembly, scaffold: TASK_contig0002633